GAAUCUAGGAGUUCUAAACCGCAUGAAUUCUAAUCAAAAAGUUAGUAUGGAACCAUAGUCUACUGAUUGUGUUUGUAACUAGUGCUAAAAGACCAAAGUUUUCAAGUUUGUUUCAAAUGUUUUCUAUGUCUGUGCAAUUAACUAAUUGUUCUUUGUUCUAUUUGUAAACCAAAUUUAUGUAACAGGAGGAUGUAACAAGAUAAGAUGUAUCUCAACUGGUCCUCCCUCUUAUUCUUCUACGAGGCAAACAUAGAAAAUAGAUCUACAUUGAUUGCAACUCCCACCUUAAACACGCGAACAAACAGUUACCUUUGUUGGACAGCCAAAUGUUACCAAAAUAGGCAUAACUAAUGCAUAACAUCUCUCGAUUUAGUUGAGUUGAGUACUGACAGAUAUGUUGUUUGGUUUUUGGUUAUGGAUUAAGUUUACCACUUAGUAAAGCCAACCGAGCAUGACCCAAUAGAAGAUUGUGUUCAUGGUUAUUGUGAGUGGCUCUCAGCAUUGCUUCCUCAGCCAAAUAUGCUGUCCCCCUUCGUUUAGUAACUCAAAAUUUGCCAAGAUGCUUCCCAUGACCAGCAACGAUGUCAUCUUGGCCCCUUCUACUGUUCUAAAUAAUAUUGGGGAUAGACUUUGUAAUCGUCCUUUAAGUGUCUUUGUUGCAAUUCGGCUUCAUGCAUGCGCCAAAAGUUUUCCUUCUUCUCGGAUGUGGAAAACGUUAAUGAAAUUAGCCCAAUCAUGGCGACAUCGCACUAGUUUCAUUACCCAAUGGAAUCGGAUUGUCUGGUUGUCUGGAAAAGUCUUAACGCGAGUUUGCUAAGGUUGAAACUGAUAACGGGCGAGCAAUUUCACAAACGAAUGUGAUGCAUUUCUCCAAAUGGGGUAGCAGGAAAUCUACAAGGCCCUGUAACAUGGAAGUCGAGCUGGAAAUCCGCGGAAGGGUUUCCUUCACAAAUAGAUAAACCGUCCACAGCCUUGACACAAAUUCGACUGUGGGAUACAUAAGGGCACCCCGGUUUCAACCUAGUCGAUAGAUGAGCUGCAUCAGUGGGUCUGUGGUUCUUAUCCCCUGAAGGCGGGCUACACAAUCCACACAAAACUCUUGCUCCAAUAGGACACGUACGAGGUAUCCAGAAAGUAGUGCUACAGUGCAAGCUUGUGAUGUUGGCCUCGGCUGCACUAACAAUUCCAGAAAGAAUUAAAACUGGUUCGCGAGACAAGGUGGUAUUGCCGUAGAUUGAAUUGUAGGCGAUGCCCGUCCGCAGUAUCUUUUCAAAAGCCUGUGAAACAGCUGUAGCGUCGCCCUUGAAGUUGCCGCCGAUCAACUGACGAAUAGCCCCAAACAACUGUUCGAUGGGGUCACUCGAGAAAC